UUUGAAAAUCAUUAAAGUCAUUGUUGCUUCUUAUUACUGUAAAGAAAAAGCUCAGAUUUACUGCCGAGGGUGACAGGCUUGAAGGCAUCAUUUUUCAGAGGUGUGUGCAAGGAAUUGCUUAGCAGACUCCAGCAGUGCAGCUGGGAACACUAGUUCAGUUGAACAGUUGACGGGCAGAUGUUCGAGGAUAUCUGCAAUGAAACUGAGGUUCACUAAAAUGAGUGGGAUACAUUGAUGGGCUUUUCCUUUGACCACCCUCCUUUCACAAGUGAAGCUGAUACACUGAUGUUGAUGGUGAAUUUCAUCAUCAAUUUCUCUUUUGCCAAGGGAUGGCUCCCAAGGUUCAAUGUGAAUAGAGAACACCACCACAUUUUUGUUUCGUUUCCUUGCUCUUAAGGUUAUGCAAUUAAAUCAUUCUAACGACAAA